UACGGCCAUAGAACCGAAGAACCACCACAUCCCGUCCGCUUUGUGCAGUCAAGUUCGGUAUCGCUCGGUUAGUACCAUGGUCGGGGACGACUUGGUAGUUUUUGUUUC